rnacentral:rRNA from 1 species
AGGCAGCAGUAGGGAAUCUUGGACAAUGGGCGCAAGCCUGAUCCAGCCAUGCCGCGGUGAGUGAAGAAGGCCUUAGGGUCGUAAAGCUCUUUCGCCUGUGAUGAUAAUGACAGUAGCAGGUAAAGAAACCCCGGCUAACUCCGUGCCAGCAGCCGCGGUAAUACGGAGGGGGUUAGCGUUGUUCGGAAUUACUGGGCGUAAAGCGCGCGUAGGCGGAUUGGAAAGUUAGAGGUGAAAUCCCGGGGCUCAACCCCGGAACGGCCUUUAAAACUCCCAGUCUAGAGUUCGAGAGAGGUGAGUGGAAUUCCAAGUGUANAGGUGAAAUUCGUAGAUAUUUGGAGGAUCACCAGUGGCGA